ensembl:lncRNA
CGGAGCCAGCAGCGAGACGGCUCCGGGAGCAGCGAGAGGAGGGCCAGAGCGUCCCCCGCCCGCCCCGCCGGGCGCGGCCAUGGCGGCUCGCGGGCCGGUGCUGCUGCCAAACCGUGUUCCGAAGUGCCACAUCUUUACGGAAUGGCUUAGUUACUGUUUUCCACGCAAACAUCCUUGAGUUUUGGGAUUGCUCCACUUACAGCGGGUUUUAGCCAUACUGCUCAGUGAAAAACUUGGCUGGUGUGAUAAGCGUGAAAAUCGAGCUUAAACUUAGUGCUGUUUGGCUGUAAUGCAGUAUGUAACACCAGCCGGGUUGGUUUGCAGAUGCUCAUUCACACAUGAAGCAAAUUCCUCUCCCGAGGAAGAGAGGAAUGUAUUGUACAAAAAACCCAGGACAUGUUGCACCAGGAAUCAGAGAUGUCAGGUCCAUGGAAAGCUGGUCUCACUGAUGAGAUACCUGCAGCUCAGAGCUGGAGCCUGGGCAGGGUAUGAACAGGAAGCCACUAUCUGUGUAUGCACCACGAUUUACUGACACAAGCCACUUUACAAGAAAAUCUGUGGCAGAUAAUUAUUUUCCCUUGCUGCAAAAAACGCCCAAGCCUCAUUUUCAGUGACAAACUACAGGAAAUGAAGAUUAUAUUUGAUUUAUAGUAGUCUCAGAGGAACAGAGGUGUUUCUUUUGCAUUUACAAGUGCAUACAAGCCCUCCUUUUCAAGAUGUACUUAUGGCAAUGAAGAACCAGUAAGAAAACCCUACAAACAUUCUCCGGUAUAAGAGACAUUUUGCAUCUUUUCACCAAUAACAGCCUCCUUUCCUCUCACUAGAAGUUACCUCUUACAAAUGAAAUCAGGGUUGACCAAAGAGACGUGUUAUUUCCAAAAGCAAAGCUUGUCUGAGACAUUUUGGGGAUGCACUGCCGAGAAGAGAUGUCCCAAACCUCCCACAUCUUCUCAGCAAUGCACGUUUCUUGAGACAUGAGAUAAAUGUAGUAUAUUUCCCAUCACUAACCCUGAAUAGUUUUCAGUAACUUCAUGGUGAUGUCUUUACUAAUUACUUUCAACAUCUGCAAUGUCUAUUUGAAACAAUGGCAUUUGUCCUUGCUGACACUACUCUUUACAAUCUGACAUCUCAUAUGAUUUCCCAAGAAUGACAUGGGAAAGAGAUCUACCAGGAUCCUGGUACACCACAAUCUGUGGAAGGAGGCUAACUCUGGAAGAGGACAAAAUUAAACUAUAGUUGUCCUGAAGGAAAUGUGAUGUAGAAUGGACCAUUAGGCAUGAAACAAUGUGUGUUUCCUAUAGCUUCCCCCUCAUCCUGCCUAUCCAAGCUUUAAUAUGUUAUGUUCUCAAGAUAUAUCCAUAGCAUUAAAGAGUAUUUGAACUGGCAUGGCCUAAGCAUAUAUUCAGUGUGAUCUUCUGAUGAGUGGGAUGAUCUAACUCAUCUACAUGACAUUCUAAAUUUUGGGAAAGGGCCUUCAUUGCCCGUAUUAACUUCCCUAGAACACCAUUAACAUGGGGUUAUGGCUGUCCAGUGACACCACAGUGUCCUCUGCAAAGCUAAUCCAGAAAACAAGAUGCUGAAGGGUUGGGUGCACAGCAGCUCACCAGUACAGCCCAUCAGGUCCUGACUGUGGUGACUGGAAAUGUUCUCAGCAGGGUGUGCUUUAAUAGAGACAUGAAGAUCAAUUCCAACACUGGGAAGUUUCAAGUGCUGCUCCAGAAGUUUGUGUGCAAAGAAAUUCAAGAGGGGGGAUGUGGAACUUAGUUCUAAUGAUGGUUUACCACUAUUGUUCUCCUCAUUCAGUGUGGAAAGCAUCUGUAACACUGUCUCAGCAUUCCCAUCCUGUGUAUUCCUGGCUGCUCCCAAGCAGGUGUGUAUAAAGAGCAGAGACUGAUACAGGGCUGGGCCGCUGUGUCUGGAAAGGGAUCUACAGCAGCAAAUAUAUAAAGACUGGAAGCCCAUUUAUAUCUUCUUUCAGUAUUUUUCCACCUACAUAUAUCCAUUUCCUUCCCUUCUUUUACCUAAGUCUAGUCACAUCACCACUGAGGGAACAUCCAUUUCUCAAUCCUGAGGGGCAGCAGAAACACUUGUACUAAAAAAAGUGUUGGAUUCUAUACUAUUAGCAACAGUCCCUGAGACCACUACUUGUUCUUGCAAAAUUCUGGUCUGGUUUUCUCUUUUCUCAAAAGAUGACCUAAGAGAAGAAGUGACAAUUUAGUGUUAACCACUUCAGCUUGUUUCCAAAAUAAAUGAUGGUGAAAUAAAUCCUAUGGUGAAAUU